rnacentral:rRNA from 1 species
AUUGAACGCUAGCGGCAUGGCUAAAGCAUGCAAGUCGAACGUGCCCGCAAGGGCAAGUGGCGGAAGGGUGAGUAAAGCGAUUGAACGUGCCCCAAGGUGGGGGAUAGCCGCGGGAAACUGCGGGUAAUACCCCAUGUCCUCUCCGGAGAAAAGGUUUACCGCCUUGGGAUCGGCGAUCGUCCUAUCAGGUAGUUGGCGGGGUAAUGGCCCACCAAGCCGAAGACGGGUACCAGGUGUGAGAGCACGACCUGGCACAUCGGGACUGAGACACUGCCCGGACUCCUACGGGAGGCUGCAGCGACGAAUCUUCCGCAAUGGGCGCAAGCCUGACGGAGCAAUGCCGCGUGUGGGAUGAAGCGGCUACGCCGUGUAAACCACUGUCAGGGGACGGAACCAAUGAUUGUCCCCAAAGGAAGGGCCGGCUAACCCUGUG